rnacentral:rRNA from 1 species
AUGUCAAUGCUGGAGCCAUCACCAACUUGUUUGGUAACACCAUGUUUUAAUAAUUCUAUGCCAUGGGAAAUGCUGCCCCAAGUAUAUGAUAUACCAUCAUUCGGCUCUGCACUCAACAAACCCCCAUUGGGAAUCAUCAUUUCCUUCGUUGGGAAAUGCUGGGAGACACCGCAUUUUGGGCCGGUCCAUUUGUCUACAGAAGGAAACCAUGUAGGCCCAGUCCCAAGUUUCCUUUUCGCCCAACUGCUUAGGCCUUGCGUCGCAGUCCCAUCCAGCCCAACCCAAAAAUUCCCAAUCCCUACUCCUCCGGUGGCUGCUCACCGCCGGCUCUUCCACGGAAGAAGCGCUCUCGCCGCCGGGGACCUCCUCCCGCGCGCCGCCAGCGUUGCGGGGAAGCAUCUCCGCCCCCACCCCACCGCGGUGUCACCCUCAUCGUCUCCCAGGAAACCCGCCUCGCCGCUGCCGAUGGUCGCCGCGCAGGAGCCGAGGGAGGAGUACCCGCCGGACCUCAGGAGCGGGCUCUUCAGCGCCGACGACUUCCGCACGUGCAGCCCCAAGCAACUGGACGACGAAGAUAGGAUCAGCGCUCUCACUGAUGAUAUCUUACUGUCCAUCUUGGGGAGGCUCAGCUCACUUGUGGCUACAAGGACAAGUGUGCUCUCUACACGGUGGAGGCAUCUGCCUUGGUUGCUGCCUGAGCUCAGCAUCGAUGUCCAGGAUUUCCUAUCCGCUCCGUGCGCUGACCCUGUUGAGGCAAAUGAUAUGGAACAAGCCAUGGCGUCUUUGACCAAGGCAACCAGGAGUUUGUUGGAUAAACAACAGAGAGGAUCCACUGUCUCAAGUUUGUGCCUUAACCUCUAUUUGAUCAACACUUAA